UCAGGACGAACGCUGGCGGCGUGCCUAAUACAUGCAAGUCGAACGGUCUUUCUAUGGAAGCUUGCUUCCACUGAGAAGAUAGUGGCGAACGGGUGAGUAACACGUGGGUAACCUGCCCAUAAGAGGGGGAUAACAUCCGGAAACGGGUGCUAAUACCGCAUAGUUUUCUUGAUCGCAUGAUUGGGAAAGGAAAGACGGCCUUUGUGCUGUCGCUUAUGGAUGGACCCGCGGCGUAUUAGUUAGUUGGUGAGGUAACGGCUCACCAAGACGAUGAUACGUAGCCGACCUGAGAGGGUGAUCGGCCACAUUGGGACUGAGACACGGCCCAAACUCCUACGGGAGGCAGCAGUAGGGAAUCUUCCGCAAUGGACGAAAGUCUGACGGAGCAACGCCGCGUGAGUGAAAGAAGGUUUUCGGAUCGUAAAACUCUGUUGUCAGAGAAGAACAAGUUGGAGAGUAACUGCUCCAGCCUUGACGGUAUCUGACCAGAAAGCCACGGCUAACUACGUGCCAGCCGCCGC
rnacentral:rRNA from 1 species